AGACGAAGGUGGCAAGCGUUGUUCGGAAUCACUGGGCAUAAAGCGCGCGCAGGCGGUCUAUUAAGUUGGAUGUGAAAUCCCUCGGUCCAACCGAGGAACUGCGUCCAAUACUGGUAGACUUGAGGAUCGGAGAGGUGCAUGGAAUUCCUGGUGGAGCGGUGAAAUGCGUUGAUAUCAGGAGGAACACCGGAGGCGAAGGCGAUGCACUGGCCGAUUACUGACGCUGAGGUGCGAAAGCUAGGGGAGCGAACGGGAUUAGAUACCCCAGUAGUCC
rnacentral:rRNA from 1 species